GAUGAAGAACGUAGCGAAAUGCGAUAAGUAAUGUGAAUUGCAGAAUUCAGUGAAUCAUCGAAUCUUUGAACGCACAUUGCGCCCCUUGGUAUUCCGAGGGGCAUGCCUGUUCGAGCGUCAUUUACACCCUCAAGCUCAGCUUGGUGUUGGGCGUCUGUCCCGCUUCGUGCGCGGACUCGCCUCAAAUGCAUUGGCAGCGGUCUUGCCAGCUUCUCGCGCAGCACAUUGCGCUUCUAGAGGCUUUGGCGGAUCGGCGUCCAUCAAGUACACCCACAGUUUGACCUCGGAUCAGGUAGGGAUACCCGCUGAACUUAAGCAUAUCAAUAAGCGGAGGA
rnacentral:misc_RNA from 1 species